UACGUAGGGUGCAAGCGUUGUCCGGAAUUAUUGGGCGUAAAGAGCUCGUAGGUGGUUUGCUGCGUCCGCUGUGAAAACCCAAGGCUUAACCUUGGGCUUGCAGUGGAUACGGGCAGACUAGAGGUAGGUAGGGGAGAAUGGAAUUCCCGGUGUAGCGGUGAAAUGCGCAGAUAUCGGGAGGAACACCGGUGGCGAAGGCGGUUCUCUGGGCCUGUACUGACGCUGAGGAGCGAAGGCGUGGGGAGCGAACAGG
rnacentral:rRNA from 1 species